CGCAGCCAACGCGUCCUCCCAAUAAUUUAUACUCGUCUCUAACGCCUCCAUACCUAUGACAGGAUAUAUAGUAAGAGAACAUCCAGAGUUAAUAAGACUUUUAUUAUUAGGAAGACUAAGAUCUCAAGAGUAUUCGCUAGAUAUUGAUCGCAACAGGAUCAGACGUUUCGCACCGUUAAGUUUGAUGUUGAAAUAAGAACUUAGCUUGCCUUACAAUAAAGCACAAAUUAAAAAUAUUUUUGAAUAAUAAGUUGUCAAUAUUAACAGGGUAAUAAAACAAAAUACAGAUUCAUAUUAAGUAAA